rnacentral:ncRNA from 1 species
UUAGGGUAUGUGAAUGUGUAUGAGUGUAUUUUUGUUAAUAGGCACUUCGCUAAACAGUCGACUUAGAACUGGCACGGACUCGGGGAAUCCGACUGUCUAAUUAAAAUAGAGGAGACAGACGGUCCUUGUUGUGGACGUUGACUGUCUCUGAUUUCUGCCCAGUGCUCUGAAUGUAAAAGUGAAGAAAUUCAACUAAGCGCGGGUAAACGGCGGGAGUAACUAUGACUCUCUUAAGGCAGCCAAACGCCUCAUCUAACUAAGGACGCGCAUGAAUGGAUUAACGAGAUUCCCACUGUCCCUA